rnacentral:rRNA from 1 species
UAAGGCGGAUUUAUCUGCCGCUCAUGGAUGGGCCUGCGGUGCAUUAGCUAGUUGGUGAGAUAGUAGCUCACCAAGGCGACGAUGCAUAGCCGACCUGAGAGGGUGAUCGGCCACACUGGGACUGAGACACGGCCCAGACUCCUACGGGAGGCAGCAGUAGGGAAUCUUCCGCAAUGGACGAAAGUCUGACGGAGCAACGCCGCGUGAGUGAUGAAGGGUUUCGGCUCGUAAAACUCUGUUGUUAAGGAAGAAUACUUGAGGUAGUAACUGGCCUUGAGAUGACGGUA